UCGGAUAUGGUGUAAUGGCUAACAUUACCGCCUCUCAGAUACCUGUUAGUACGCGGUAGCUCGGGGUUCGAUUCCCCGUAUCCGAA